AUGACCACAGCCACAAAUCACUCCAGAUCCACAAUAAUACUUGCUGCUUCUCUCCUUCGUCUCUCGCUCUCUGCGGCGACUUUUAGAGGUGGUCGCCUCCCAAUCUGCGACGGCGACGGCGACGGCUCCAAAGAGUUGGAUCUGUUGAACACUCUCGCUCAGCAGAGGGAUUUGCUAACCGGAGGUGCAGAGUUGCUGUGUAGUGUUGAAUGUGCUCUUCUUCAACUUGUGCCACCUGAGAACGGUUUUGUUUCCAUUACAGCCAUAUGUGUAGAUCCAGAGCAAGGAGAGGAACUGGAUCUAUUCUCCACUAGUUCAUCUUGGGUAGCUGUUGCAAAGGAUUCUGCAAAUUGGAUUUGA
rnacentral:rRNA from 1 species